GUCCCUAUAGCGCAAUGGAUAGCGCGUUGGACUUCUAAUCCAAAGGUCGUGGGUUUGAAUCCCAUCUGGGUUG